UACGUAGGGGGCAAGCGUUGUCCGGAAUCAUUGGGCGUAAAGGGCGCGUAGGUGGCCUGCUAAGCGUGCGGUGAAAGCCUGGGGCUCAACCCCGGGUCGGCCGUGCGAACUGGUGGGCUUGAGCACUGUAGAGGCAGGCGGAAUUCCGGGUGUAGCGGUGGAAUGCGUAGAGAUCCGGAAGAACACCGGUGGCGAAGGCGGCCUGCUGGGCAGUAGCUGACACUGAGGCGCGACAGCGUGGGGAGCAAACAGG
rnacentral:rRNA from 1 species